rnacentral:misc_RNA from 1 species
UAUACCUAGUGCUGACAUAAGUUCCUGUCUCAGUCUUGUCUCGUGACUUGGUCUGGUCUGAUAGGUGUUUUACAAUGCUGAAGUCAUGCCUCCCUGCUGGUCAAAACUAGCGCGUUUAAGAAGAGAGGUUUAAGAAGAUGAAAAUAUGUUGCUCGAAGGAAACAUAAGUGCUGGGUCCAUGCAAUAUUGAAACAGAGAAAAAUAUUUGGAACGUACCAUCAUCUGGUUAAAGAACUUGAGUUGGAUUCAAAAGUAUUCCAACAAUACUUUCGUUUAAGCAGGGAACAAUUUCAGCAAGUUUUGUUGCAUUUAGAGCCACACUUUGUCAAAAUAAACCUAAAGAGAAACCAUCAGUCCAACGGAACGACUUACAAUUUGUUUGAGGAACUGGUGAUAGAAUGCUGACUUUCACAAUAUUAUUCUUAAGUGCAGUCACAACUUGUGGCUUCAAUGAGGCUGAAGAUAAUCCAUAUCAGUACAACGUCAUUACUGAUGGUGUAAAAACUACUUGUUACAUGUGUCCACCAGGAUAUUAUGUUUCUCAACAUUGUACUAAGAACUUCAGUGAUUCAACGUGUUCGCACUGUUCUCCAGGAUAUUUCCAGACAAACUAUACCCAGGCAAGACGUUGUGAACAAUGCCAAAAAUGUAACAGUUGGCAUCAAGAAACCAACAUUAGCUGCACCUCCACUCACAAUGCUGAGUGCAGAUGCAAACUGGGUUACAAGUGGAAGCAGCAUGAUGCUUUUCUCCAGGAAGCAAGCUGUAUGUGGACCGGAGACUGUCCGAAGGGUUACAUCCCUAACUCGGUAAGCAGUGAACACAAGUGUGUCAAAUGCCAACCACAUCAGUCAUGCUUCACUGUACCCGUAGGUGGUGCUGCAGCAGGUUUCUCUUCUGCUUGGAGCAUGGUCACUGCCAUUGUUGUCCUGUACAUGAUUUAAGAUGAUGCAUGUUCAACAGGAAGAUGGUCCUCCUUGAAAGAUCUUCGAAAUACUAACGAAUUUUCAUCACUGUCUAUCAAUUUAUCGUAUACAUUUUUUUAAUUGCCUUUGUAACUUUCACAUGUAUUUUCUUAAAAAUAUCUAAAUAUGGUUGCCUGAAUAAUUCAAAAGUAGUGUGUGGGGGGGGGGGGGGGGGGGGGGGUAGUAGGUAUGGCUUAAAUUUGUUCAGUUUAUCAAGAUAUGAAUGAAAAAAAGUAAGCACCUCUGGACCAAUUAGAUUGUCGUAAAGUGUAUAGAGGCAAAGAAAAUUUAAUUAUAACAGAUUGAAACAAGAGUGUUUGUUUGGUUGAAACAGGGAAAUGCUCUUAAGAUGCAUUCUCGAUUUUGUCUCCAUAACUGUAAACCGUAAAUAAAAUGUGUUGAGUGCAUCGUUAAAUAAAACGCUUCCUUCCUUCCUUCCAUAACUAACUUCUCAGAGAUAUUUUUAAAAUAUGAAGCAUGCAUUUAGAGGAAUUACGGUAGGAACACCAGGACGACUAGAUGACACAUUAGAUGUACAGGAAUGGAUAAUCUAAGCAAUAAAAUCAAAGUAAUGCCUGAUUUCAAUUAUUAGAAACGGCUCUAAUAAUCAAAAAUAUGCUGUAGUGUUUAAAAACUAGGGUGUGUCACUUUAACACUUUUAUGACAUCUGUAGAUUUGACAUCCAUGUGUACUUGAUGUUGCAAGUGACAUCUUGCUAGUAGCAGAAUUUGACUUUGUUUUAUCAGGUCAUCAUAAAUUUCAUGGCUUUAGAUUGCACCAAAGAUGAGGUGUUAAAGGGCGUGCCAAAAAUAAAUACAAAUGUGCCAACGUCAAAACAUUUGAGCUCAAAAUCAAUGAAAUGAUAAGUUACAAUUAGAUUAAUAGUACUUGAAAUGCAUUCUGAAUAUGUAGAAACAGCUAUUAUUAACAUUACUGCAUUCAAAAAACUUUGGUGUUCUCAGAACAGACAAAAAGCAAGUUGUGUCCAAAUUAGAGAGAUUUCAAGCCCUGCAUCUUGCUAGUAGCAGAAUGUGACUGCUUUAUCCGGUACAAACAAUGGUUACAGGAUAAAAUAAAACAAGCAUGACCUUAUCCAGCAAGUGCUAAAUCCCUUCUACAUAUAAAUUAAACUCAGUUUGACCCAUACUUCUCUUUUCUAGUCGAUAUACUCCGUUUUAUAUUGGUACUAUCAUGUAUCCUCUGGAGCUGGGCCUGUCCGCACCACUAUACCAACCAUGACGAAUGGACUAUACCCUAGUCUGAUACUCUCUCUUGUUCAGACAGAUCCGGCUUCUUGAGAUCUGUAUUUCAGUCACUCUAGUGGUUUUCUUGACGGGAUGUACUCCAUCUCGUCCCUACAAGCUGUGCACCUUAACGGCCUUAUCGAGGCCACAGACGUGGACAUUUAGAUCGGACUUUAAACUUUUAGAUCUUCAUUCAAAAUUUUACAUCAAAAUUACACUCUUUUUGUUCUAUAUUAGUAAAUAGUCUGAUACUCUCUUCUUUCUCUCAUUUAUUUUUAGACUGUCCUUCUAAAAUGCUCCAAAUUGUAUAAAUAUUUGGCGUAGAAGUCAAUUUGUGUUUUUUUAACAUUUUGGAUUGUUAACUUUUUAAAUUAAAAAAAAAUCUAUUCACUUUUUCACUAAUUGCUGUUCCAAACUCUGCCCAUAUCCAACUCACCAUCUCCCCCCUCCCCCACCCCACCCCCACUCCCCUCACCUGCCACUUGCUCCCUCCUAUUCUGUCCCGGACCCAGUCACUGGCAAAGUCAGACAGUGUGCCCAGGAAAGACGUCCCUGAACCUUACUUGGAUAUAGGCACAUUAAUAUGCUAUCCUAUUCUCUCCUAUCCUAUAAGUUUGCACAACAGAGCAGCUAAACUAUUUUUCUAUAUUGUUAAUCUAUGCAAGUUAUUACCGGCUUCAGUGGCGUCGUGAUUAGGCCAUCGGUCUACAGGCUAGUCCAAACCCUGAGUGAGUGCAAGGCUCAAUGGGUAGGUGUAAACCACUUGCACCGACCAGUGAUCCAUAACUGGUUAAGCAAAA